GCUUUUUAAGGAUGUCACCACCUGGGCGGUGGAUUUGUCGGUGAAGGACGCACAUGACAGCGACACGCAGAAUCACCUCGGAGCUGACGCCCCCUAUUCAGAAUUAUUUGGCACACACUUUUCGAUCUGACUACUAUCUUUAAAGUAUCAUCGCAUGGCAUUUUAUAGUUGGUGCAGCCUAUCUUUUUAUAAGCUGCCCUCGUGUCAGAAGGGAGGAUCUAGCACAAAAGUGCCUGCCCACUUGACGCAAACAUUCAGACAAGUGAUCCGAUGUCCCUCGAAGCUGAGGCUCCUUCUCAAAAGCACAUAUUGCGGAUACAAUAUGUGAAAUCAAGAGCAUUUUGGCACGCUUCGUAGGAGGCUGAGUACGGCGCGGGUUGCAUGUGGUCUACUGUGAACAUGUUACGACUAGGUGCUUGAAUGUUGCAGUCCCCCAAAGGAGCAUAGGCACAUUCACCUUUGAUGUGGCAUCUUCCAUGGAAAGCUUCAAAACGAUCGACGUGUGCCCGAUGGAGGUGUCGUUUGAGGACCUCACGUAAGCUGUUCUGAGUACUGACCCACAUGGCGUCGUCCUCAGCACAUCAUCGCGGUUUGCGUGCACCUUCCACUUUUAGUGGCCAUCCUUGGAUUUGCGUUUCAUUAUUUCCUAUUCAGCGAGAACUGGUGGUCUGUCUUUUCUUUUCCUUGACUUCUUGCAGCCUGCAGAAAUUCGGAGGCGCAAGGUCACAGGGUCUGACACAAAAAGUGAACGUCACAACCUGUACGAGGGCGCAGAUGAAG
rnacentral:lncRNA from 1 species